GCCGUCUCCUGGGCCGGCGCCAUGGGAGCCGAAAGCUGGGGAGAAGCCCUGCGCCCCAUGGGCGCCAAACCCGUGCUCCGGGCCGCGGGGGGCGCAAGUUGGGGGUCUGAGAGGCAAAACCCUCUCCUAGCACCCCGCCCGGGCCUCGGGCAGGGUGAACGCUGCCCACGUCCCCUGAGACGCGGGAACCUCGCCCCAAGCGCCGCUGCGGGCUCCCGCGGAGGGUCGCGAUAGGGCGAAGCGGGGGAAGGGCGCCGAGCCACGAGGCUGAGGGCCAGGGCUGGUGAGAAGCUCGAAGAUGCGCCGAAGCGGGCUGACGCAGGCGGAGCACCGGCCGGGAGAGGUGCGGGGAGAGGCCGCGUGGGACUGGGUACGAAGGGCAGAAGUGAGCGGUGUGUGGGGCCGGAGAAGAAGCCUUCCUGUCAGGGCAGGGGCUGAUGCUCCCUGGAACAGGCUGGCGGGACCCCAGCCAACUUCCGUGACAACAGGGCCUGAGGGAGAGGCACAGACCGGCCCGGCACGCCCGGGCCCCGGCUCUGCCACGCCAAGUGCAUUCUGGUCGACGCUUGGAACUUCUUAAAAAUAACUGAAACCCUACCCGUCCAACGACCUUUCCCUUUUUCUUCCUCUGGAACCUGAAACAAUCAUUCUACUUUUGGAGGCGUGCCUUAGAUGUGGCACCUAAGGGGUUGAACUCAGGACCUUGCAUAUUUCAGGCAGGCACCGGCACCACCGAGCUAAAUCCCUGGCAGUUCAGACUGAUUUUGAGCUCAUCGUGUAGCCCACCCCAGGCUGGCCUCAAACUCGAAGCAGUCCUCCUGCCUCUGCCUCCUACGUGCUGGGAUUACAGGUGUGUGUGCCAUCCUGCCCAACCCCAUUUUAAAAUUGAGCUAUAGUUUUAAGAAUCUAUUUUAAGUGUUAGUUUCUUACUAGAUACAUAGUUUGCAAGUAUUUUCUCCCAUUUGGUAGGUUGCUUUUGUCCUUUGCUGUGCAGUUCUGAAGUUCAGUGUGGUCCUGUUUGUUCUUUUUGGUGUCAUCCAUCACCACAUCCAACAUCAUGAAGCUUCCCCUACAAGUUUUCUUUUAGGGUUUUUACAGUUACAGGUCUAUUUCUGCAUCUUUAAUCUGUUUGAGUUAAUUUUUGUAGGUGAUGUAAGAUAAGGAUCUAACUUCAUUCUUUUUCCUGCCCAUGGCCUAUUUUCCCAGCACCAUUUACUGAAGAGAUAGGAAGUUUUUAAAGCAUAGCAAGGAGCUCAGUGGUGCCACCACCUGCCCUGAAAGCGCAAGGACCUGAGUUCGAUCCUUGGUACCAAAAAAAAAAAAAAAAGCAUAGCAAGAAUUCAAAGGCCCUCAAGUUCCACACUAGAGAGAAGCACAGCAUAUGUGUUCAUAUGAGUAUAAAACAGUGCCAUAUAUUUAUUCUGAGGUAUGGUGACUUUCACAUAUUUUAAUAAACUAGAAAUUGGGGUGGUGACUUAUUCCAAUUGAUGGCGUCUCACAACUAAUUGGCAAUUUUUUUUUAGUGGAACAUAAAAUAGUUUUAAAAAUCAGUUUGAUUAAAUAGAGGAUAGCCGUAGUAGGAUAGCCAGGCAUGGUGGCACACACCUAUAAUUGCAGCACUCUGGGAGGCUGAGGCAGGGGGAGCACAAAUUCAAGCCCAGCCUGGGCAACUCACUGAUUUAGCAAGAUCGUAUCUUAAAAAUAAACAGCCAUGGGGAUGUAGCUCAGUGUGAAGGCCCUGGGUUCAAUAGCUAGUAUACUGCAAAAUAAAAAGCGGAAAACCUAAAAACAUAAGUACAGCUGGAUGGGAGAGUCAGACUCGUCAUUUUCACGCUUGUAUGAUUUUGCAGUGUUCUGAUUUUCCUAAUGUUGUGGGACACACGUUUUCCACAUCCUUACAUAUGGAUCUUUCCCUUUGCUCCAUACUGGCCAGAGGGACACUGUGCUUGUUUGGAGGCAGAGGGUGAAAGGGAAUUCUCUGUGCUUUGCCCUCAGUUCUGCUGUGACCCUGAAACUCUGACACAGUAAGAAAGAGAUGAACUAGCAAGUCAUGAAAACACACAGAAGAACCUUAAGUCUGUAUCAUGAAGUGAAAGGAACUUCGAGGCUCGUGUGUUGGAAGCUUUAGACCCAUGUGGGCUUUCAGGAGAGGGGCCUAGGAGCUGCCGCCCACAGUGGGUUAGUGCUGCUGUCCUGGAGCAGGGUCCUUGCCAGGUGAUCCAUUUAGCUCCCACUCGCCUUCUCUGCUCAUCUACCACGAGAUGCCAUAGAGCAGCAAGAAGGCCCUUGCCAGAUGCCAACCCUUCUAGCUGCUUCCUAGCCACUAGAAGUACAAGACUGUAAACUUCUGUGUAUCAUAAAUUCCUUCGUCUGAUACCUGUAAUCCCUUGGGAGGCUGAGGCAGGCAGAUCGACACAAGUUUGAGGCCAGCCUGGACUACAUAGUGAAUUCAAGGCCAGCCCAAAUGACAUAGUGAGAUCUUGUCUCAAAAAAAUAAAAUAAAUUAUGGCAGCGUGACACAGACUAAGACAGAUGCCAAUCUGAAAAGGUUACAGACUACAUAAUUCUGUGAUGUUCUGGAAAAGGCAAAACUAUGGAGACAAUCGAAAGAUCAGUGGUUUCCAGGAGUUGAGCAGAGGGCAGGAUGAACUGUAGAGCAGAGACAAUUUUUAGGAAGGUGAAACUAUUCUGGCUGCUGCUGUCAUGGAAGAUACACGUUGUUACACGUGUGUGGAAAUCCAUGGGACACGCGUCACUGGCAGGGGGCCCUUAGGGUAACAAGGUGCUAGUGUAGGUUCAGCAGUGGUAACGAAUGUACCCUGGUGGGUCAGGAUGGGGAGGGAUGGGGCACGGACAUAUGGGAACUGCUUUCUGCUCAGUUUUGCUGUGAACAUGAAAUUACUCUAAAAAAUAAAGUUUACUUAAAAAAAAAAAGCUAAAUACUAGUAAUUCUUGAAUCCUCUCUCAGGCCCCUGCUGUGAGUCACCAUCAAUCCCAGGCCACACUGUGGUUGCUCCUUGGAGGGGUCACAUGGUAUAAUAGGGCCAGGCAAGUUGGAACUCUAGGGAUUCACCACACUGAAUUAAAUGGAAUCCUUUAUUACAAGCCAGGUGAUCCAGAGCGGGCUCAUGCCUCCAAAAACUGGACAAAGGAAAGGCAGUUUGCAGGAUCCUUUUAAGGGUUCUUUUUGGGGAGGGCUCGGAUUGGGGGAGCACAAGCGGAGUUUCGCAGGGGCAGAACUUUGCUAAGCUAGUGGGCGUCGGGGAAGUUUCACACAGUUUAGUUAAAACAAAG
ensembl:lncRNA